UCCAGACUCCUACGGGAGGCAGCAGUGGGGAAUAUUGCACAAUGGGGGAAACCCUGAUGCAGCAACGCCGCGUGAGUGAAGAAGUAUUUCGGUAUGUAAAGCUCUAUCAGCAGGGAAGAAAAUGACGGUACCUGACUAAGAAGCCCCGGCUAACUACGUGCCAGCAGCCGCGGUAAUACGUAGGGGGCAAGCGUUAUCCGGAUUCACUGGGUGUAAAGGGAGCGUAGACGGCGACGCAAGUCUGGAGUGAAAGCCCGGGGCCCAACCCCGGGACUGCUCUGGAAACUGCGGCGCUGGAGUACGGGAGGGGCAGGCGGAAUUCCUGGUGUAGCGGUGAAAUGCGUAGAUAUCAGGAGGAACACCAGUGGCGAAGGCGGCCUGCUGGGCUUUUACUGACGCUGAGGCUCGAAAGUGUGGGGAGCAAACAGGAUUAGAUACCCCCGUA
rnacentral:rRNA from 1 species